rnacentral:rRNA from 1 species
GACGAACGCUGGCGGCGUGCSUAACACAUGCAAGUCGAACGGAGAAUUUCAAUAAGUUUACUUAGCGAWAUUUUUAGUGGCGGACGGGUGAGUAACGCGUGGGUAACCUACCCAUAAAUCCGGGACAACCCUUGGAAACGAGGGCUAAUACCGGAUAAUCUUAGAGCUUGGCAUCAAGCUUUAAGGAAAGGUGGCCUCUGAAGAUGCUAUCGAUUAUGGAUGGACCCGCGUCUGAUUAGCUAGUUGGUGGGGUAAAGGCYUACCAAGGCGACGAUCAGUAGCCGGCCUGAGAGGGUGAACGGCCACACUGGGACUGAGACACGGCCCAGACUCCUACGGGAGGCAGCAGUGGGGAAUCUUCCGCAAUGGACGAAAGUCUGACGGAGCAACGCCGCGUGUAUGAUGAAGGUCUUCGGAUUGUAAAGUACUGUCUUUGGGGAAGAAUGACUGAUUUGAAAAUAUUGAGUCAGUAUGACGGUACCCAAGGAGGAAGCCCCGGCUAACUACGUGCCAGCAGCCGCGGUAAUACGUAGGGGGCAAGCGUUGUCCGGAAUUAUUGGGCGUAAAGGGCGCGUAGGCGGAUCGUUAAGUCCGGUGUGAAAGAUCAUGGGCUCAACCCUGAGAGUGCAUCGGAAACCUGGGGAUCUUGA